rnacentral:lncRNA from 1 species
GUCUCUCUAUAUUGCCCAGGCUGGUCUCAAACUCCUGGCCUCAAGUGAUCCUCCUACCUCGGCUUCAUAAAGAAAUGGGAUUAUAGGGUGAGACCCUGUGCCUGGCCAUUAUGUAUUCUUAUGUGAAAUAAGUACUUCGUAAGAUAAUACAUAUAUCAUCAUGUAAUAAUAAUAACCAAUAUUUAUUGAGUACUUUCAGUGUACCUGAACUGUUCUAAGCACUUUAUAUAUAUUUCUGUCUUUAUCUAUCUACUAACUCAAUCUUCCUAACAACCUUUGAGGUACAAACUAUUAUCAUCCUCAUUUUACAGAUGAGAAAACUGAGAUCCAGAAAUUCAAGAUCAAUAACCAAUAAUUGAAAAGGAAGUAAGACAGCCUGCCUUUGGAAUAUUGUGCCACUUUACCAAUAAUUUACUCUAAUUAAAAUGAAACAAAAAUGUGUGCAUGUUAUUGGAUGUAUGGAAAGAUGCAUCAAACUAAAUGACCUCAAGGGAGAGGUGUGGCUUCCGUGAGGAAGAUGACAAGACUCCUUCUUGGUACUCAUGUAAUAAGUUUGUGAUAAAAGAUAUUAUUACUAAACAAAGAUUAACAUGUAUAACUUGUCUCCUUUAAACAUAAUCUCAGAAUAUUAGGCAAAAAUAUUAGAGAGUAGAAAGUCUCUCCUCUUCGUUAAGUUCUCUAAAACAUUUUUACUCUUUAACAGGUUCAACUCUACCAACUGUCUAUAGCAUUUCACAGUGUUGUGGAUGAUUAUGCUGUCUAGGGAACUGAGUAGUUACUGCACUUUCAAAAACAUCAUCUCACAGUCCUGAGUGAUCUAUCCACACAUCCAUCUUCAAGCUUCCCAAAGGCAGGAAUCACCUAUUGUUCGUCUGUAAACUCCAAUGAGAAACAUACAGUCUGGUGUAUGGGAGGUCAUCAAAACAAGUGUGGAGGUAUAAGCUAAGACUGACAACUGCCUCCCAAGUUUCUAUUCAAAAGUAAUCAUUUUGGAUGUAAAUCUCAUCAGGAAUGUGUUUAAACUCAGGAACUGCUGAAUUGUACUGUAACUUGGCUCAUCCCAAAUAGUGCAGUUGUCUUCACAAUGGAGAGACUGUCACAGCCUAAAAAGACACGUGACUCUGAGCAUCAGUUUACUGGCUGCCCACUCAAUGAUUCAGACUCCUCCAUUCUUUGUGUGGAAGAGAACUGGCCUUCCGGGAGCCUGAGGCCAAGUGAGAGAACCUUCUGAAAGCCGUCACUGCAUGGGGAGCCUGGACUUACCCUUUGCCUUGUUGGAGCUGUUUGUCUAUUUCCGUCUCGAAGUUCUCUAUAGAUUGGGCUAGUGUCUUUCACCACUGUGUCCUUAAUGUCCUGGAGACUGCCCGCCACUUAGCAGGGGCCUAUAAGCACGUGAAGUGAGGCCAGGACAAAUCCUUAUGCCCUCUA